CAAGGAAUUUUCCGCAAUGGGCGCAAGCCUGACGGAGCGACGCCGCGUGGAGGAAGACACUUUUCGGAGCGUAAACUCCUUUUCUGGGGGAUGAAGACAGUGACAGUACCCCAGGAAGAAGGACCGGCUAACUACGUGCCAGCAGCCGCGGUAAGACGUAGGGUCCGAGCGUUGUCCGGAGUUACUGGGCGUAAAGGGCGCGUAGGCGGUUCCACGCGUCACACGUGAAAGCCCCUGGCUUAACCAGGGAGGGUCGUGUGAAACGGUGGAACUGGAGGCAGAGAGAGGCUGGUGGAAUUCCCGGAGUAGUGGUGAAAUGCGUAGAUAUCGGGAGGAACACCGGUGGCGAAGGCGGCCAGCUGGCUCUGACCUGACGCUGAGGCGCGAAGGCGUGGGGAGCGAACGG
rnacentral:rRNA from 1 species